CCUAGCAAACGGCCAGCUAGAAGCAGGGAGGCCGCUCCACCUUCCCGGGGCCGGGCUCUACGGCGGCCAAUGAGGCGCGACCACGCGGGCUCCAAAACACCGAGAGGGCGGGGGCGUGGAUGGCCUCGGCGGGUAGUGCAGCCGAAGCCGCUUCCUUCUCCGGUGUUGAAGGAAACGAGAUUGGGGGCGGUCCCGCAAAGGGCCCGGUCGCCUCAUGGCUGCCGGGAGUCAGGAUUCACCCAGCACCUACCCAAGUUGGGACUGGAGCUUAAGCGCUGGUCUCCUUCACUUCUCUGUAGCCUCACAUCUACUACAGUUACCCUGACAAGUCUUCCGUCCGGGCGGGAUAGGUUCACCGCCUUUGUUUUAUGAGUCGCAGAGGUCACCACCCCACCUCCCGUUGAUAUAUUGAUACAUCCAAAUAUAAUGCACGUGAAAGCUCGAGAACAAACUCGAAAGUGUGUAGGGAAAUAAGGGAAUGAGAAUAAACGUACAUAAAAACUUGGGGUGACAGACUAGACCGAAAUCCCAAAUGUAAUGCACUCUAGUUAUGUGGCCUUAAUUCCCACCUCAAAUAUUUUAAGAUUACAUGUUGUAUACAUAAAGGACUUGGAAUACAGCACGUAGGAGGAGGUAUCGACAAAUGUUAUCUGUUUCAGAACCAAAGCUAAAGGUAGGAUCACUGAACAUUUACUGUGGAGGGCUGGAGAUUCACUUUGUUGGAAAGAAAUGUUCUUGGAGAAUGCAGUAAAAGAAAGAAGACGAGCUUAGCAAUACUAUGCAAAGGACUUAAAAUACCUCAUACCUAAGACUACUUCCACUUGGAAUUCAAGUGGAAAUCUUCUUCUUCGUCCACACUCUGUUCACAGUUACUCACAGGAACAGGAUGAGCCACCAUACUAAGCUACAUUCAUCUAGCCCUCCAAGAAUGAAAUUGCCAAUUAUGCCUCUUUUUUCUCCUGUGAUUCCAGAGGUUCACUUUGUAUUCUGUUAUCCCAUGAAAUAAUCUGCCUCACUUCUCCUUUCCUUUCCCCUCUCUCCCUCCUCCCCUCCCUCCCUCCCUCCCU